AAUAAAGAACCUAAAAGUAAGGAUUAUUUUGAUAGAAUAAACAAUGUAUAUAAAUAUACCUUUAUUA
rnacentral:tRNA from 1 species